rnacentral:lncRNA from 11 species
AUGUUUUUGAACCUCUGCUGUUUCUCACAAAGUGGGACCAGUCUCUCUGUAGGCCUGCCUUUAUGUAUAGACAUGCACUCACACAGAGACAUCAUAUGGGCUCCCUUCCCUUGUGAAACAGGACCAUCAGGCGCAUUCCUGGCCUCUCCGUAUCCAGAGUCCUUGUGUUUAUUUUGGGUGCCGUACAGGUCAUUGGUGGGGAGGCCCAACCUUGGAGAAGGGAGCUGCAAAGAGGAACCAGAAAAGAAAGAUUCAGCAGAACACAACCGCUACCGACAACACAAACAGAAGGUCAUAGGCGGAGAUAAUUGGGGAGAUGCAGCAGUUCCUAGGUUCCUUGCAGCUGUUUUUUCUAUUCAUGUGAGUCAUUAGUUCCUGUGAGAAUGCAGCUCAAGCAUGGUAAUGUGUAUUGUCUUUCCUACUUCAGAACCACAGUUCCAAACACAGGGAAAGUGAACUCUGAUUUCACCCAGUGAAAAAAUAAACCCAAUUUGAAAGAAUACUCA